GACGUAGGGCGCGAGUGUUGUCCGGAUUUAUUGGGCGUAAAGAGCGUGUAGGCGGCCAGGUAGGUCUGCUGUGAAAACUCGAGGCUCAACCUCGAGACGUCGGCGGAAACCAUCUGGCUAGAGUCCGGAAGAGGAGAGUGGAAGUUCCUGGUGUAGCGGUGAAAUGCGCAGAGUAUCAGGAAGAACACCCGUGGCGAAGGCGGCUCUCUGGGACGGUACUGACGCUGAGACGCGAAAGCGUGGGGAGCGAACAGG
rnacentral:rRNA from 1 species